AGGCAGCAGUGGGGAAUAUUGCACAAUGGGCGCAAGCCUGAUGCAGCCAUGCCGCGUGUAUGAAGAAGGCCUUCGGGUUGUAAAGUACUUUCAGCAGUGAGGAAGGCGGAGUCGUUAAUAGCGGCCUCGUUUGACGUUAGCUGCAGAAGAAGCACCGGCUAACUCCGUGCCAGCAGCCGCGGUAAUACGGAGGGUGCGAGCGUUAAUCGGAAUUACUGGGCGUAAAGCGCAUGCAGGUGGUUCGUUAAGUCAGAUGUGAAAGCCCGGGGCUCAACCUCGGAAUUGCAUUUGAAACUGGCAGACUAGAGUACUGUAGAGGGGGUAGAAUUUCAGGUGUAGCGGUGAAAUGCGUAGAGAUCUGAAGGAAUACCGGUGGCGAAGGCGGCCCCCUGGACAGAUACUGACACUCAGAUGCGAAAGCGUGGGGAGCAAACAGGAUUAGAUACCCUGGUAG
rnacentral:rRNA from 1 species